GACAGUUUGGCCGAGUGGUUAAGGCGCGGGACUGCUAUAUACCAUAUCUGUCAUCCCGUUCAUUCGUGAGCGCAGGUUCGAAUCCUGCAGCUGUCG